rnacentral:misc_RNA from 1 species
GAAAAGCAAAUCAGUCCACCAGAUAGGAUGUCACCAUGCUUAUUCAAUGUCGUCAAAUUAACAUAUUAGGAGAAAAGAAAUGAGAUGAGGACCAUGUUUGCAUGACUGUUGUGCCCACAAGUUUUCCUCUGAAGUGUAAACUGCAACUGGGUCCAUAUAGACUGAAAUUUUGCACAAUGCACAAGACUCUCAAAAAUAGAAAAUGGACUUUUUAAAAAAACAAAAAAAAGAGAAAGAAGAAUAAAUAGUUUAUACUUAGAUUACGUUCAUAUUAAGGCAUGUGGAGGUGAUGAGCAUAGCAAAACAAACACUUUCUUGCACAA